UAUGGUUUCACCACUUUUGGAUGUGUUUUUAAGGAUGGUGUCUAUUUCUCUGCUUGUAAGAAAGAGGAACUGACAACUGAACUGAUUCUGUCGUGGCUGAAGCUAUAGCUAUCCGUUGGUGUCUCCAAUUAGCAAAGGAAAAAGGUCUUCUUGAUUUUAGAAUCCAAUUUGAUGCUCUUGCUGUAGUUGAGUGCUUUAGAGGCUCAAAUUCUCUUGCUUGUAUUGAUUUGAUAAUUGCUGACUCUAAAAGUGUGUUUGGAUGGAAGAAUCUUUUGAG
rnacentral:lncRNA from 1 species